UUUCCGUAGGUGAACCUGCGGAAGGAUCAUUAAAUAGUACCACAGAUUACAUAUGCAAAUAUGACAAUCUACUACUAUAUACCAUUCCGAGUACUCUUUUUCCAUGUUGCUUCCGCGAGGCAGUCACUUCAAGUGGCCGUUUGCUCCGGAUCUCCCUUCUUGGAGAGCCGGCUGGGGGAGAGAUUUCCUUGCGAAAGGUCAAUUACAAAUCCAAUUAUGUUUUGAUUUUGUGUCUGAAUAGAUUUUUUUUUUCUUUCUUUUUUUAAUUAAUAAAUACAAAAAAAAUAAAAUAAAAUACAAAACUUUCAACAACGGAUCUCUUGGUUCUC
rnacentral:misc_RNA from 1 species